rnacentral:rRNA from 1 species
AGUGAACGCUGGCGGUAGGCCUAACACAUGCAAGUCGAACGGCAGCACAGUAAGAGCUUGCUCUUACGGGUGGCGAGUGGCGGACGGGUGAGGAAUACAUCGGAAUCUACUUUUUCGUGGGGGAUAACGUAGGGAAACUUACGCUAAUACCGCAUACGACCUACGGGUGAAAGCAGGGGAUCUUCGGACCUUGCGCGAUUGAAUGAGCCGAUGCCGGAUUAGCUAGUUGGCGGGGUAAAGGCCCACCAAGGCGACGAUCCGUAGCUGGUCUGAGAGGAUGAUCAGCCACACUGGAACUGAGACACGCUCCAGACUACUACGGGAGGCAGCAGUGGGGAAUAUUGGACAAUGGGCGCAAGCCUGAUCCAGCCAUACCGCGUGGGUGGAGAAGGCCUUCGGGUUGUAAAGCCCUUUUGUUGGGAAAGAAAAGCAGCAGGUUAAUACCCCGCUGUUCUGACGGUACCCUAAGAAUAAGCACCGGCUAACUUCGUG